rnacentral:lncRNA from 1 species
AGUCUGUUAGUUUAAUAACUUUUGAAAAUAGAAUAAUGUGGCUGGAUGAGGUAGAUGAGAAGAAAGAAAUUAAAGGGCUAAGAGUUUUGGUGGGCCUCUUUUCCAUGAUAAGACACUUUUUGACAAUAUCUGCGAUCUAUAUUAUUUUAGUCUGUACACCGUUUUACAAGUCUAGUCACAAGAUGAAUAGAUGGUCAGCUGCUCUUCCUUUUCUCUAGUUAGCAUGGGUAUGCUUUAACUUUAAGAGUAUUAUAUAGUUAGAUAUAGAUUACCAAAGCUAUUUUAAUUUGUUUAGGCACUACCCAAAAUGGUCAAUAACGUGGUUAAAAGCAGCAUGUCCUACGGUUGUC